rnacentral:sRNA from 1 species
CUGAAAUCGAUCAAAGCAUCAGGCAAAAAAUCGC